rnacentral:rRNA from 1 species
AAGCUGCGGCAGCGACACUAUGUGUUGUUGGGUAGGGGAGCGUUCUGUAAGCCGUUGAAGGUGGCCUGUGAGGGUUGCUGGAGGUAUCAGAAGUGCGAAUGCUGACAUAAGUAACGAUAAUGCGGGUGAAAAACCCGCACGCCGGAAGACCAAGGGUUCCUGUCCAACGUUAAUCGGGGCAGGGUGAGUCGACCCCUAAGGCGAGGCCGAAAGGCGUAGUCGAUGGGAAACAGGUUAAUAUUCCUGUACUCGGUGUUACUGCGAAGGGGGGACGGAGAAGGCUAUGUUGGCCGGGCGACGGUUGUCCCGGUUUAAGCAUGUAGGCGGAUGUUCCAGGUAAAUCCGGAACGUCAUCAACGCUGAGGUGUGAUGACGAGGCACUACGGUGCUGAAGUGACAAAUGCCCUGCUUCCAGGAAAAGCCUCUAAGCAUCAGGUAACAUCAAAUCGUACCCCAAACCGACACAGGUGGUCAGGUAGAGAAUACCAAGGCGCUUGAGAGAACUCGGGUGAAGGAACUAGGCAAAAUGGUGCCGUAACUUCGGGAGAAGGCACGCUGAUGGUAGGUGAAGUGACUUGCUCAUGGAGCUGAAAUCAGUCGAAGAUACCAGCUGGCUGCAACUGUUUAUUAAAAACACAGCACUGUGCAAACACGAAAGUGGACGUAUACGGUGUGACGCCUGCCCGGUGCCGGAAGGUUAAUUGAUGGGGUUAUCCGUAAGGAGAAGCUCUUGAUCGAAGCCCCGGUAAACGGCGGCCGUAACUAUAACGGUCCUAAGGUAGCGAAAUUCCUUGUCGGGUAAGUUCCGACCUGCACGAAUGGCGUAAUGAUGGCCAGGCUGUCUCCACCCGAGACUCAGUGAAAUUGAACUCGCUGUGAAGAUGCAGUGUACCCGCGGCAAGACGGAAAGACCCCGUGAACCUUUACUAUAGCUUGACACUGAACACUGGUCCUUGAUGUGUAGGAUAGGUGGGAGGCUUUGAAGUGUGGACGCCAGUCUGCAUGGAGCCAUCCUUGAAAUACCACCCUUUAAUGGCUGGUGUUCUAACGUGGGCCCCUGAUCGGGGUUGCGGACAGUGUCUGGUGGGUAGUUUGACUGGGGCGGUCUCCUCCUAAAGAGUAACGGAGGAGCACGAAGGUCAGCUAAUCCUGGUCGGACAUCAGGAGGUUAGUGCAAUGGCAUAAGCUGGCUUGACUGCGAGCGUGACGGCGCGAGCAGGUGCGAAAGCAGGUCAUAGUGAUCCGGUGGUUCUGAAUGGAAGGGCCAUCGCUCAACGGAUAAAAGGUACUCCGGGGAUAACAGGCUGAUACCGCCCAAGAGUUCAUAUCGACGGCGGUGUUUGGCACCUCGAUGUCGGCUCAUCACAUCCUGGGGCUGAAGUAGGUCCCAAGGGUAUGGCUGUUCGCCAUUUAAAGUGGUACGCGAGCUGGGUUUAGAACGUCGUGAGACAGUUCGGUCCCUAUCUGCCGUGGGCGCUGGAGAAUUGAGGGGGGCUGCUCCUAGUACGAGAGGACCGGAGUGGACGCAUCACUGGUGUUCGGGUUGUCAUGCCAAUC